rnacentral:rRNA from 1 species
UACGGAGGGUGCAAGCGUUAUCCGGAUUUAUUGGGUUUAAAGGGUCCGUAGGCGGACUCGUAAGUCAGUGGUGAAAUCUCAUAGCUUAACUAUGAAACUGCCAUUGAUACUGCGGGUCUUGAGUAAAGUAGAAGUGGCUGGAAUAAGUAGUGUAGCGGUGAAAUGCAUAGAUAUUACUUAGAACACCAAAUUGCGAAGGCAGGUCACUAUGUUUUAACUGACGCUGAUGGACGAAAGCGUGGGGAGCGAACAGGAUUAGAAACCCG